rnacentral:rRNA from 1 species
UACGGAGGGUGCAAGCGUUAAUCGGAAUUACUGGGCGUAAAGCGCACGCAGGUGGCUGAGUCAGUCGAUUGUGAAAGCCCUGGGCUUAACCUGGGAAUUGCAGUCGAUACUACUCAGCUAGAGUAUGGGAGAGGGCAGUGGAAUUCCCGGUGUAGCGGUGAAAUGCGUAGAUAUCGGGAGGAACAUCAGUGGCGAAGGCGGCAUCCUGGACCAAUUCUGACGCUGAGGAGCGAAAGCCAGGGGAGCAAACGGG